rnacentral:rRNA from 1 species
GACGAACGCUGGCGGCGUGCCUAAUACAUGCAAGUCGAACGCAGGGGGGACGGGUGAGGAACACGUGGGUAACCUCCCAUCAGAGGGGAUAACACUUGGAAAAAGGUGCUAAACCGAUACUGAUGGAUGGACUCGCGGUGCAUUAGCUGGUUGGUGGGGUAACGGCUCACCAAGGCCACGAUGCCUAGCCGGCCUGAGAGGGUGAUCGGCCACACUGGGACUGAGACACGGCCCAGACUCCUACGGGAGGCAGCAGUAGGGAAUCUUCGGCAAUGGGCGAAAGUCUGACCGAGCAACGCCGCGUGAGUGAAGAAGGUCUUCGGAUCGUAAAGCUCUGUUGUUAGAGAGGCGUUAUCUAACCAGAAAGCCACGGCUAACUACGUGCCAGCAGCCGCGGUAAUUC